CCAACCGGGAUUCCCUCCGUAAGGGCGACUGAAAGGGGAUGAGCCCAGCGCAUAACCUUCCGGUCUGUAUGUGGCCGCGGAGGGGUGUUGCGUUUCGGUGGAUCCGUACCGCUCGAGUUGCUGACCGCCUAAGUCAUUGCUUGAAUGCAGCCCCGAGGAGGGUGGUAGGCCCGUGUGGCGGCGCCUGUAAAAAGGUCCGAAGCAACUUGGGCGGAGGGGUCUUUACCGUAGAGUCGGGUUGCUUAGUACUGCAGCCCUAAGUAGGUGGUAAACUCCAUCUAAGGCUAAAUACUACCACGAGUCCGAUAUUUGACAAGUACCGUGAGGGAAAGCUGAAAAGGACUCUGAAGAGAGAGUUCAAGAGGACGUGAAACCAUUAGAAGCUGAAACGGGUGGAACCGUGAAGGUGGAAAGAGGGGAUUCAGGCUGUGGACACGGGCUUAAGCCUUGAGGUUGGCUAUUGUGAGAGGACCCGGCGUUAAGUGUGAGUUGCCGGUGCCCCUGUGGGCUUUUGCCUGUGUGGGCGGCUUUAGUUCUCCCUCGAGUACUAGUGGUGGCGACCCGCUGCUCGGACCCCGAGGGCCCCCUUGGACUGGUAGCCUGCACCUUUGGUGUAGGUGAGGACCUGGUGGGGUGCUGGCUGGGUUUGAGCGGCGGUCACUGUGAGGAGGCGGCUGCUACGCAAGUGGCUGGCCGCCUCUCGCCAUGUGAGAGGGAUCGG
rnacentral:rRNA from 1 species